rnacentral:rRNA from 1 species
UACAGAGGUGGCAAGCGUUGUUCGGAAUUACUGGGCGUAAAGGGCGCGUAGGCGGUCUUGCAAGUCCCGUGUGAAAUCCCUCGGCUCAACUGAGGAACUGCACGGGAAACUGCUUGGCUUGAGUUCGGGAGAGGGAAGCGGAAUUCCGGGUGUAGCGGUGAAAGUGCGUAGAUAUCCGGAGGAACACCGGUGGCGAAGGCGGCUUCCUGGGACCGACACUGACGCUGAGGCGCGAAAGCUAGGGGAGCAAACGGG